UACAGAGGGUGCGAGCGUUGUCCGGAAUCACUGGGCGUAAGGGCGCGUAGGCGGCUUGAUAAGGUUGCGGUGAAAGCCCGGGCUCAACCCCGGUCGGCCGUGGCAACUGUCGAGCUGGAGCACUGUAGAGGCAGGUGGAAUUCCGGGUGUAGCGGUGGAAUGCGUAGAGAUCCGGAAGAACACCGGUGGCGAAGGCGGCCUGCUGGCGAGUGGCUGACGCUGAGGCGCGACAGCGUGGG
rnacentral:rRNA from 1 species